rnacentral:sRNA from 1 species
GAAUGUGAGGGUGACCUAGCUGUGAACCUGCCACACCAUUGAUUGCCAGGGCCCAUUAGACUGAUGUGGUGGCCCGGUGUCUCCUUUCUCCCUCACCUCUGUGUGCAUCAGGCUUUAAGCUGCAGGCUCUUACAGCAAGAAUGACUUUCCCUGAUAAAGAAGGAUUCCUCCACAGUAGGCCCCGGCAGUGCAAGCUUUGCUUAGGGAGUCCUCAAGACGAGUUGCUUUCUAUGACCCCAAAAUGCCUCCCAAAGUAUUGAGAUGAAUGCAGCGGGAAGGGUCUGGCUGGGUCUCUUU